rnacentral:rRNA from 1 species
GAUGAACGCUAGCGACAGGCUUAACACAUGCAAGUCGAGGGGCAGCGAUAGGUGGCAACACCGAGUCGGCGACCGGCGCACGGGUGAGUAACGCGUAUGCAACCUGCCCAUCAGCGGGGGAUAACCCGUCGAAAGACGGACUAAUACCGCAUAAAACAGGGGUUCCGCAUGGAAAUAUUUGUUAAAGAUUUAUUGCUGAUGGAUGGGCAUGCGUUCUAUUAGGCAGUUGGCGGGGUAACGGCCCACCAAACCGACGAUAGAUAGGGGUUCUGAGAGGAAGGUCCCCCCACAUUGGUACUGAGACACGGACCAAACUCCUACGGGAGGCAGCAGUGAGGAAUAUUGGUCAAUGGGCGAGAGCCUGAACCAGCCAAGUAGCGUGCAGGACGACGGCCCUAUGGGUUGUAAACUGCUUUUAUAAGGGAAUAAAGUGAGUCUCGUGAGACUUUUUGCAUGUACCUUAUGAAUAAGGACCGGCUAAUUCCGUG